rnacentral:piRNA from 1 species
UAUGCAGCUCACCAUAGCAACAGAGCCUAC